ACCAGGCGCAGUGGCUCACGCCUGUAAUCUCAGCACUUUGGGAGGCCGAGGUGGGCAGAUCACCUGAGGUCGGGAGUUCGAGACCAGCCUGACCAACAUGGAGAAACCCCGUCUCUACUAAAAAUACAAAAUUAGCUGGGUGUGGUGGCGGGUGCCUGUAAUCCCAGCUACUCAGGAAGCUCAGGCAGGAGAAUCACUUGAACCCGGGAGGCNNNNNNNNNNGCCUCCCGGGUUCAAGUGAUUCUCCUGCCUGAGCUUCCUGAGUAGCUGGGAUUACAGGCACCCGCCACCACACCCAGCUAAUUUUUGUAUUUUUAGUGGACACGGGGUUUCACCAUGUUGGCCAGGCUGAUCUCGAACUCCUGACUUCAGGUGAUCCACCCACCUCCG
rnacentral:SRP_RNA from 1 species